AAAUAUUUCUUAUUUUGGCACUUGUUUGUUUUAUUUGCGGCGGAUCGGAGGGUCUAAGAUCUAGAUCAAAAGCGGUGCAAGUUAAACAAAAAAUAAGACGAUGUUCAGACACAGUGACAAUCCAUCGGCGUGAUGAAAAAUCAAAUGAAAAACAGGUAUUUUAUCUCUCUCUCUCUCUCUCUCUCUCUCUCUCUCUC